rnacentral:lncRNA from 1 species
UAUACAGUCCAUAUGGAAGGGAGGUCGUUUAAUGUGGUAAAAAAAUUAUUGAAAACAUGGACACUCAAAUGAAUUUAUUUUGAAUGUUAAUACUGCUUGAUCUGAUACCCUUCAUAUACUUGUUGAAUACAAAGAACAAAAUGCAUUUCGACCCUUCUCAAUACUUUGAUUGUAAAAUUAAAUGGUAAUUUCACGAAAUUAAAAUAAAUUCAAGCCCCUGAAGGCUGAAGUUACCAUUUAGAUAGUUCGUACAACAAAAUUACGUUUGGAGCAUAGCAGCAAUAUGAAUUAUCAUUUCAUUGCUGUAUAAUCUUACAAAAGAAUAAAUCAUCUUCUAGAGGCAGCCUCAAGAGAUAUGUAAAACCAAUUGACUCUAUAAGUGAUUGCCAGGUGAAAAAGCUUAUUCCCUCGGCUAUGGUGCUUGAGCUGGUGUCCAUUCACAUACUUCACCUUCUCUGAUCCAGAGAGCUGCAGGGAGAAUAAAACAAAUUUAAAAACUUAAAAAAGGCAACAAAUUACAAUUAAAGGAAUACACUAUUCAGGCUAAAACUGUUGAUUGUCACACCUUUUUUUCUUUAUUUUUUGUGAGUAGAUGAAGGACAAUCCUAAGCUUCGAUUAAUCUUUAGUAGUAUAUAUGUUUGUAGUUAUAUAGAAAUCAGAUUGGAAUGACACAAAUGAACUUUAACAUAUGUAAUGAAAAUGCUGAAGGGAGUAAUGAAGAUUUGACAAAGAUUAAGGUAUGAGUGUUGGUGAAAACAUAUAUUUGAUGGCCUUUUGUUUAUCAGAGAAUUUAUGUACUACGCAAUUCAUUAAACAAAGUUCUAAUUUAUAAUGAAUCCACAAAGUGUUGGCAGUGUGGAUUAUAAGUGCAGUCCAAGAACCCACAUCCUUCAUAGACAUUUCAUCAAACAGAAAAGAUGCAUUUUUAGUCUUUUAGAAUCCAGAUGAGUUGAUUAUACUUUUUAAGGCAAAAGUGACCACGAUGAACAAAUCCAAAUUACCUUUAGUCUUAUGUCUUCUUUCAACAAUUUUUGACCAGCAAAUUCAAACUAUUUUUAAGAUUAUUUCAACAAUCAUAAAUUCACAACAAUCAAACUAUUGUAAUAAUCUGAAUAAUCCAAAUAAUCAUUGGUCAUAAACUUUGAAACGACCGAAAGGUACAAAACACAUAAUCCUUGAAAACCAAAUGAAAAAAGAAUCCCAAAUUACUAAACCACGAAAGCUGGAAAAUCCAAUAAUCAGAAUGUCUAAAUUUAAUGUCUAAAUCAUAACUAGAAAAUUGUUUAUCAACAAUGUAAUCAAAAUAACAGUUCAUAUAAAUGUGAGUAAAAAUAGAGAGAGAGAGAGAGAGACAUAACUUGUAUGGGUAAACAACUAUUCUGAGCUUCUCUUCCAAAUUCGUUUAAUUCAACCUAGAUUCUGAACUUGUAUCGGUCUAUUUUGGCUGAAAACGAGAGAGAAGAAAUAGUCGAAGCUGCUGUGUGUUUAUCUAAUUCACAAUCGCUUGGUCAAAAGUAGCGGUUUGUUGCUUGCACCAACACGGGUCACGGGCAGGGGCUUCCUUUGUCUGAAAAUGAGAGAGAGGAAAUCGACCAACAAAUCGUUAAUUUCGCCUUGCUUUGCCGCUUGCACCAAAUGGGAUUUUUGAGAGGGGUUUCAUUUGUCUGAAAAUUAGAGAGAAAUAAGAGGGGAGGGGUUUGCCAAAUCUGUGUAUGUGAAAGUGAGGAGAGAGAAAGAAAUAAGAGGGAGGGGUUUUAUAGGUGAGCUAAGUAUGUA